rnacentral:rRNA from 1 species
GUAGGGUGCGAGCGUUAAUCGGAAUUACUGGGCGUAAAGCGUGCGCAGGCGGUUAUGUAAGACAGAUGUGAAAUCCCCGGGCUCAACCUGGGAACUGCAUUAGUGACUGCAUAGCUGGAGUACGGCAGAGGGGGAUGGAAUUCCGCGUGUAGCAGUGAAAUGCGUAGAUAUGCGGAGGAACACCGAUGGCGAAGGCAAUCCCCUGGGCCUGUACUGACGCUCAUGCACGAAAGCGUGGGGAGCAAACAGGAUUAGAUACCCUGGUAGUCCACGCCCUAAACGAUGUCAACUGGUUGUUGGGUCUUCACUGACUCAGUAACGAAGCUAACGCGUGAAGUUGACCGCCUGGGGAGUACGGCCGCAAGGUUG